rnacentral:rRNA from 1 species
GACGAACGCUGGCGGCGUGCCUAAUACAUGCAAGUUGAGCGAUGAAGAUUGGUGCUUGCCCCAAUUUGAAGAGCAGCGAACGGGUGAGUAACGCGUGGGGAAUCUGCCUUUGAGCGGGGGACAACAUUUGGAAACGAAUGCUAAUACCGCAUAAUAACUUUAAACAUAAGUUUUAAGUUUGAAAGAUGCAAUUGCAUCACUCAAAGAUGAUCCCGCGUUGUAUUAGCUAGUUGGUGAGGUAAAGGCUCAACAAGGCGAUGAUACAUAGCCGACCUGAGAGGGUGAUCGGCCACAUUGGGACUGAGACACGGCCCAAACUCCUACGGGAGGCAGCAGUAGGGAAUCUUCGGCAAUGGACGAAAGUCUGAACGAGCAACGCCGCGUGAGUGAAGAAGGUUUUCGGAUCGUAAAACUCUGUUGGUAGAGAAGAAAGUUGGUGAGAGUGGAAAGCUCAUCAAGUGACGGUAACUACCCAGAAAGGGACGGCUAACUACGUG